AGCACGGGNGCANUCCUGGUGGCGAGUGGCGAACGGGUGNNUAAUACAUCGGAACGUGUCCUGUAGUGGGGGAUAGCCCGGCGAAAGCCGGAUUAAUACCGCAUACGCUCUACGGAGGAAAGGGGGGGAUCUUAGGACCUCCCGCUACAGGGGCGGCCGAUGGCAGAUUAGCUAGUUGGUGGGGUAAAGGCCUACCAAGGCGACGAUCUGUAGCUGGUCUGAGAGGACGACCAGCCACACUGGGACUGAGACACGGCCCAGACUCCUACGGGAGGCAGCAGUGGGGAAUUUUGGACAAUGGGGGAAACCCUGAUCCAGCAAUGCCGCGUGUGUGAAGAAGGCCUUCGGGUUGUAAAGCACUUUUGUCCGGAAAGAAAACCUCUGGGUUAAUACCCCGGGGGGAUGACGGUACCGGAAGAAUAAGCACCGGCUAACUACGUGCCAGCAGCCGCGGUAAUACNUAGGGUGCAAGCGUUAAUCGGAAUUACUGGGCGUAAAGCGUGCGCAGGCGGUCCGCUAAGACAGAUGUGAAAUCCCC
rnacentral:rRNA from 1 species